rnacentral:rRNA from 1 species
CCUACGGGAGGCAGCAGUAAGGAAUCUUCCACAAUGGACGAAAGUCUGAUGGAGCAACGCCGCGUGCAGGAUGAAGGCUUUCGGGUCGUAAACUGCUUUUAUAUGGGAAGAUUAUGACGGUACCAUAUGAAUAAGGACCGGCUAACUACGUGCCAGCAGCCGCGGUAAUACGUAGGGUCCAAGCGAUAUCCGGAAUUACUGGGCGUAAAGCGUGUGUAGGUGGAUUAAUAAGUGUGAUGCGAAAUCCGGCGGCUCAACCGUUUGGACUGUGUCGCAUACUGUUAGUCUAGAGGACGGCAGAGGUAAGUGGAAUUACGGGUGUAGCAGUGAAAUGCGUAGAUAUCCGUAGGAACACCAAUGGCGAAGGCAGCUUACUGGGCCACACCUGACACUGAGACACGAAAGCGUGGGGAGCGAACAGGAUUAGAUACCCUGUAGUCCACGCCGUAAACGAUGCAUACUAUUAGUAUGGGGUAUCGACCCCCUGUGCUGAGAAGCUAACGCGAUAAGUAUGCCGCCGNGGAGUAGAGNGCAGACUAACUACAAGAAGUAGAGCGNGAGAGNGCGACGACGACGACGAGGGAGAGG